rnacentral:rRNA from 1 species
AUUGAACGCUGGCGGCAUGCCUUACACAUGCAAGUCGAACGGCAGCGCGGGAGCUUGCUCCUGGCGGCGAGUGGCGAACGGGUGAGUAAUACAUCGGAACGUACCCAGAAGUGGGGGAUAACGUAGCGAAAGUUACGCUAAUACCGCAUAUUCUGUGAGCAGGAAAGUGGGGGAUCGCAAGACCUCACGCUUUUGGAGCGGCCGAUGUCGGAUUAGCUAGUUGGUGGGGUAAAGGCUCACCAAGGCGACGAUCCGUAGCGGGUCUGAGAGGAUGAUCCGCCACACUGGGACUGAGACACGGCCCAGACUCCUACGGGAGGCAGCAGUGGGGAAUUUUGGACAAUGGGGGCAACCCUGAUCCAGCCAUGCCGCGUGAGUGAAGAAGGCCUUCGGGUUGUAAAGCUCUUUCGCGAGGGAAGAAAGCGCACUGGUUAAUACCUGGUGUGGAUGACGGUACCUUGAUAAGAAGCACCGGCUAACUACGUGCCAGCCGCCGCCGUAA